rnacentral:rRNA from 1 species
CGAAGGGUGCAAGCGUUAAUCGGAAUUACUGGGCGUAAAGCGUGCGCAGGCGGUUCGUUAAGUCUGUCGUGAAAGCCCUGGGCUCAACCUGGGAAUGGCGAUGGAUACUGGCGAGCUAGAGUGUGAUAGAGGAUGGCGGAAUUCCCGGUGUAGUGGUGAAAUGCGUAGAGAUCGGGAGGAACAUCCGUGGCGAAGGCGGCCAUCUGGAUCAACACUGACGCUGAGGCACGAAAGCGUGGGGAGCAAACAGGAUUAGAUACCCUGGUAGUCCACGCCCUAAACGAUGCGAACUGGAUGUUGGGCUCAACUCGGAGCUCAGUGUCGAAGCUAACGCGUUAAGUUCGCCGCCUGGGGAGUACGGUCGCAAGACUG